rnacentral:rRNA from 1 species
UACAGAGGUCUCAAGCGUUGUUCGGAUUCAUUGGGCGUAAAGGGUGCGUAGGCGGCGCGGUAAGUCGGGUGUGAAAUCUUGGAGCUUAACUCCGAAACUGCAUUCGAUACUGCAGUGCUUGAGGACUGGAGAGGAGACUGGAAUUUACGGUGUAGCGGUGAAAUGCGUAGAUAUCGUAAGGAAGACCAGUGGCGAAGGCGGGUCUCUGGACCGGUACUGACGCUGAUGCGCGAAAGCGUGGGGAGCAAACGGG